CCGCGGGCACUGACAGCGCAAGGGCCGGCCGGCCGGCCUGCCGCGCUCAGAGGCUUUUAUUAAGGUUGCACAGGCACGCCUGGUCGGAGGCCGACUUGACAGGAAUGCGAGCGUGUGCCCGCGCGGCGGCUGGCCCGGCCCGGCAGAUCGUCUUACACCCGGGCUGGUGCUCGUGACCUCGGUCCUGCAGGCCCCGCCCUCCGCAGCCUCGGGGAACCAAUAACCAGGGCGGUCCACCUUAACACACUCAGUGCACGGGGCGGUCCACCUUAACGCGCUGAGAACCCGGGCGGUCCACCUUAAGGGGCUACCGACCCCCUAACCCGCUGCCCCCCUAAAGUUCCUGUGUCCCGGAGCAGGAAGAAGGGUGGCUGGACUCCCGCGAGACUGUUUGCUGGGAAAUGAGAAAGCCGCGAAAGCAUUGCACUUCGUUAAAAACCAUUCCUUCGGACUCUGGGGAAGUAGACGGACGGACGCUCUCUCCGGACAGAGGACGCUUUCUGUCCGUGUGUUCGCGGAGCCUUAGGGCCCAGGGAGGCCGGAGAACCAGAGCCCCUACCCUGACUGGCCUCCGGCCACCGGCCGAGCCCAGGGGCUGCACCUGGCCCCCUGCCCACACAGUCCUGGCGGAGCCCCUGUCCCUGCAGCGAGGGGCGGGCGGCCGGUCACUGCCCAGGCUCCUGCAGGAGCUGUCCACACCCGCGGGCCCUCAGGAGGAGGACAGGCUCUGCGGGCUUCCCGUGGGCACCGGGCCGGGACAUACGGAGCGUGCUCAUCUCGGCCCCGCCUGAGUGCGGGUGGGAGUGGGGUUUCAUUGCCUCCACCCAGCCGGGUGCAGAAGCUCAGGGGCAGCAGUGAGGCCUGGGCCUGCAGGGAGAAGCCUGAGGUGAGGCGGGACAGCUCCAGGAAGGGAGGCCGCCAGCCCUUCCCAGUGAGCAGCUGCUUCCCGCAUGCACAGAGGCGCAGUGGGGACAGCCCUGCAGCCUGUCCUAAGAGCGAGACUCUUGCCUGUGCAGCACAGUGACUGCAAGCGUCCUGUCUGUAGGCUGCUCAGCACCGUCUGUUCUCUUCGUUCCAGCAGCCCAGGAUGUGGAGAGGUGCCUUCCCUGCUAUCUAUAGGGAAACUGAGGCACAGAACCUACUGCUCCUAACUCCCAGUGCAAACCUGUCACUGCUUGGCCCUGAGAACUUUUCCCUUCCAAAGGAAAGAAAAGGAGAUAUGGGAAUUUCCUGAGGGCAACAUAAAUACCCAAGAAAGGAAAGCCUGAAAUACAAGAUAAAAAUCAAGGUGGACUCUGGGCAUGGUGGCACAGGCCUGUAAUCCCAGAGGAAGGCUGAGGCAGGAGGGUCCCAAGUUCAAGGCCAGCCUGGACAACUUUGCCACUCAGGGACACCCUGUCUCAAAUUUUUCCUAAAAAGGACUGGGAAUGUAGCUCCAUGCGAAGGCCCUGGGUUCAUUCUGCCCACACCCUUCACCCCACUCAGACAGAGAGCAAAAGAGAAACUGACUUAUUUCUUUGCCAGAAAAGCAGAAACCAUGACACUGGAAGUACUAGUGUCAACCUGGAAAAAAGUCUGAAGGCUGAUUUUGAGCAAUCGGGAAACACGGAGAUACUUGGCGGCCAUGCUGAGGAGCAGAGGAAGGGCAGGAGGCCGGGGCUGGGGAGGGGCCAGCCUGCGUCACAGGAGGCUGUGUUGCUACUCGGGAUGCUGUGCAGCAGCCCAGGGUGUGGGCAGGAUGGGAGGACCAUCGCAGGCUGCUUGUUCUUCACUCCUCUGAAAGGCUCUAAGUGAUUCCACCCUCCUGAGUUCCAGAGACUGCAUCCUCUGGACGGCCGGGCUCUGGGCUGGGGAAUGAGGCUAUGAGGUUCUGGACUCCCAUGCUCACACAGCCCUGUAAAUGCCUCGGAGCGGCUCUCCCUGCAGCUUUCCAGGCCCUCCCCCAGCCUCUCCGAGCCGAGCCCACUCUCGGGUUUCUUUCUGUUUCUGUCUGCGAUCGCCCCCUCCGCUGUGAGCUCUUGCAUGAUCUCCCUCUUUAGGCAUGGAUUCCCCAGCGCUUUGUCUGACAGGGCAGGAGAAUGGAUGAGGGAAAGGGCCGAUGAUUGCAGGCCGCCAACGCUGGUUUCGUUGGUGCUGUUGCCUGGGGUCUGCAGAGGAGAGGCUGGGGGUGAAGAAAACUUAUCCUGAAGAAGCCAGGUACGCGAACAUAGUACAACAAUGACACAUAAUGUUUUUUAAUCCUUCACAAAUUUUUUCAUUUACUGUUUUCAGAACCCUUAUGGAUAUGUAUUGUUUUUGCCAUUUUGCAGAGGAAAAACCCAGGGCAUGGGGGGAUGAAAUGUGUAAGCCCCGUGGCCUUUGCUGUGGCAGAGCAGGAAUCUGACCCCUGAUGGAUCCACGGUCUCAUCCCACUGAGGAUAGAGCUUGAAGGAGCUCUUGCGCUCAGGAGAGCAAACAGCUCUUAGAAUGCAGAGACAGGGACUGCAGGGCACCUAGAGCCCUGUAACGAAGCUUGGCCUCCAGUUCAUGCUACGCUCUUCCAGAAGAGAGCUGAAAUGAAGCCGCAAUGCCCGGUGUAGCUGUCCCACCCGCUCCCCGCCAGACAGUGUGCUCACGCUCAGCUCAGUCCUCUCCCAGUGGUCAGUCCCAUACCGCACAGCCUGUCCAGACAUCAGCGACACCCCCUGCUCUCCAGCACGAUGGACCAGGAUACAGCAAAGCAGGGUUUACUUCCCAAACCCCACCGGCACUGAGAUGCAGGUCAGUGGGCCCAGGCUGCUUCGUCUUCACUUCCUUGGUCAGCUCUCUUCUUGGCUGCCAUGUGUGGGACGGUGUGAGACAAGGCAGUUACUCCGAGCUCAGUCUCCGCUUCUGUAGAAUGCAGGUAGUAGGAGGGUUCCAGCUCUCCGGGUGCCGGGAAGAUGAGGGAGCUAGUGGACAUGAAGCCCUGAGCGGGGCUGGUGUGGCUCCAGGCCUCUGCUCGGUCUCUGCAUGUGUGUUGCUUCUUGUGCUCCAAUGUGGUCUUGCUUUUCACCUUGUCUAACUGAAUUUUAUGACCUCCCCUUUCUAACCCUAUUCCUUGUCAUAUCAUCCUCUUAAAUGUGUAAGACCAUUUUUGAGCCUCUUUUUAAAAAUCACACAUUGAAGAAGCACAGUUUACAAUGGGAAGUUGGCCAUGUCUACUAGGAGCUGCAUCUCAGAGAGACUUUAAUGUUCUUCGCUUCGGCCUCGGUGCCCCUGCACCUGGAACAGUGAGUGCCUGGCACACAGUAGGCACUGAAUAAAUAUUUGGUGAGUGAAUGAAAUGAUUUGGGAACACUCUGCAGAAGCCAGAGAAACAUCUAGUGGACAGAGACUCAUAAGCCGGUCCCACUGGUAGUGAGAAUCUCAUGUCCUGGGAGCCAUGGGAGAAACGCGAUGUCAUUUAGCUUCAUCUCCGUGACUGUGACCCCGCUCAUUUCCAGGCAGUUUAGCCAGAUGACUUUAUAUUCAAGAACUUCUUCUAUGGCUGGAUGUGCUGCAUAUUAUCGUUCCAUGCUGUUUCCUGGGAGAUAAUGUGUUUGCUCGGAUGCAAUGAAAAUGAGCUAAAACAUUUGUAUUAAUCUUAUAAGAAACAUGCAGUUUGGGAUGACUUGUGAAUAUGUAAAGGAAAACUUAUUUUAUCUAUUUUUUCCAAAUCCAAUUUUAUUCCUUUACAGGCUCUAAUCAGAUUAAGAAUUCGGCAAUUAAAUUAAGACAUAAAUUCCAGUGGUACGUAAAGCAUUUAAAAAUCUGAUUGCUCUCAUUAGUUUCUUAGUUCCUACCUUAGCUGACAGGGACCGUCUUGAUGGUAGCCUUAAACAGAAUUCAUUACGCGGUGAAAGGUUGACACUUGCUGUUGAGUCCAUGACUUAGCUGUUCCCUCUUGAUCUUCCUUCUAUUGUUGGUGUAAAUCUUUAAAGGAACAACCUCGGCAAUUAAUAGAAUACUACCAAUGACAACCACGAAAGACUGAAAACUUAGCAAAGAUUGUCAUUGCCAUGCUGGGCUCCGUGGUCCGAAGUCCCCUCUACCUGUGGCAUACACGGCUGGGUGGUUUUUAGCUGCAGAGGGCUGAGCCACAUCCUUUGAAGAUGCUUCAUCUGCAUCCGGGCUCCUUCCACACCCACCGAACCACCUGUGCCACCAUGUCCCUAGUUUGCUUGGCCCCAGAUUGGAGUCUUGUACUUAACUCGGUUUACCCUAAACAGUGGCAUCUGGAAAACUAAGCACUGGUGUUGUCCUAAUAGGUGUUAAAAUAAAUGCAGGUGUUCAACCCACAUUGUCCGGCCCAACGCAGCACCAUCUCGUGUCCCGUGGAAAGCGGCCCCCACUUUGGGAAACACCUCUUGGUACUGUGGAAAACAGAGCUGCGCUCUCAGCACACCAGCAGCCCUCCCGAAAGAAUGGUGUUGCUGAUCAUUUACAUCACGCCCCAGAGGAGGAUGGCUUCCUUCCCACCUGAGGUCGGAUAUGCAGGCAACACUUUGCAGCAAGGUUCGGCUCGUUGAUUGACCGGAGAAGUCCAUUGCUCCUCUCUUACUUCUGGCAAUGGGAAGAGCGUGAAUUUGUUUAGUGGCUGAAGAGCAAACCCUUUCUAGUCUUGCAUUUGGAAGAUGGACGGGGAGUAGUAAACCCAUUUCUUCUCAAGAGCUGCAUUCCCUGUGGAGAACUUACAUUCCUUCCUCAAGCCCUGCAAAACACCAUAAAGCCACAUUAGCUCAAAAGAGGGGAAGGAGGGUUAAUAUUUACAGGAGCAGUUAGGCAUCAAUUACCCUCAGUUUAAUGACAGCAAGCAUGUGUUGAGUACUCGUGUUAUAUACAGGACCACGCUAAUCACUGUACUCGCAUUAUCUCAUCUGUUACAACCAUCAAAACAACCCAACAUGCAGGAAUUUUAUUACCAUCAUUUUACAGAGGAAAGGCCAGAUCAGAGAAGUUUCAGGCAGUUCUCAGCCCAGGGUCUUUGGACUCCAAACCUGAAGCUUUUGGUCAUUGUGUGUUUGCAGACUCUCAGCCUUUGCAAAUCAUCUGUUCCUUCAGACCCUGAACCUGACGCCUCUUCUUGAUUUUACAAUACAUUCCCUCAGUUAUUAACCUAAUACAAAUACAGGACUUGAUAGCCAAUUAGGCAAGAGGAAAGCCCCAAGAGUUGAAAAUGAAAGCUACCCCCAAAAGUGAAGAAUUAUAGUACAUUACCUACCGCUUACUACAGGUAGAGCAACUUACAUACGCUUUUUCACACCUAACCUAAGACAAGCAUUUCUUACCCAUUUCACAGAUGAAGGAACUGAAGCUUUAGAAAUAAGAGAUUCUUUAGAAAUAAGAGAUUCUGAGCUUCUACAGAACAAGUAGCAUUCUCACCAGGCCAUCUGACUCAAAGGCCCCAUUGUCUCAAAAGAUUGCCAAGGAAAAUCCUCUCAAAUACAUAAAAACUCAACUUCCAGGUGUCACAUGGGCAUUGAAAACCAGCUGUGUCUUCAUCUGACCCGGUGACCUCUGUCCGCCAUGUCCCAGGUCAGCCACACCGGCCUCAGCUCAUCUCAGGCGGCCCCGGGCGGGAGGGGGGAUCUGACUCACGCUCUGGACAGGACCUCUGCAGAGACGCUUCACCCCGACCUAGAGCCCCAUAAAGCCGCACGGGCGUGGCCCUCGAGACUCCAGCUCCGUUGGUCUGGGGUUUGGCCCAAACACUGGUGUUUGUACAAGCAUGUCAGGUUCUGGUGCAUGGCUGUCAUUGACAGUCAGGGACUUUAAUGGAAAGUACAACCAAGAGAAAAUGUUGUGAAAAUACUUUAAAUCGUUCAUUACAAAGAAAUAAAAAGUAAAUGUACUUGGAUAUGCCUGAUAUAUUUCUGGAGAGUUUUUAAUUGUAGGAUUAUAAAACAGU
ensembl:lncRNA